rnacentral:lncRNA from 1 species
UCUUGGUCCCCCUGCUCACUCUGGUCCCCCUACUCUGACCCGGCCCCCCCACCCCCACAUGCUCACUCUGCUACUCCCACUUCCUCCCGCCACAGACAGCAAGCUCGGGCCUGGGGCGCCUGGGCCUCCCUCAGUAUGCGGACAGGCCCGCGGGCACCUACAGCCGUGGCAACAAGAGGAAACUGGCAACAGCCGUGGCUCUGGUGGGGGAUCCAGCUGUGGUCUUUCUGCAUGGAGGAGUGUGAGGCGCUCUGCACGCGCCUGGCCAUCGUGGUGAAGGGCGGUUCCGCUGCCUGGGCAGCGCGCAGCACCUCCAGGGCCGGUUCGGGGCUGGCCACACGCUGACUCUGCGGGUGCCGGGGCCGAGCUGCGGGAGGUUCACGGUGGCCGCCUGCGCUUCCAGCUGCCUCUGGGAAGGCGCUGCGCCUUGGCGCGCCCCUUUGGAGAGCUGGCAGCACGUGGCGCAGAGCACGGUGUGGAGGACUUCUCUGUGAGGCAGACCACGCUGGAGGAGGUGACCGCUGCGCCAGGACAGGGCUGGU